ACACUCCAGGAGGGGUGACUGCUGGCCCGGGAGGAAGGUUACCCUUAGCAACGGAGACAGGACAUCCAUGCAGAGCAGCACAGCCUGGUGGGAAGGGCAAAGGGCUUGGGGUUACACUGUCCUGGGUGUGAAUUCCAGCCCCUCGACUCUCCAGCUGGGUGACCUUGGGGAAGACACCACACCUUCCUGGGCUACCUGUUUCUCAGAUGCAAGAUGAGGGAGAAUAAUUCCAUUCCCCAUGUAGAUCAAACAGCUGAAGAAACUCCCUGCCUCUGUAAGCCUCUGCCAAACGGCGGUCCCCAGGGAAGCCAGGCAUCAGCUCUGGAGUUGGGGCUCAGGCGUGGGCAGGCUUGCCAGAGGUGGCAAAGAAAUGGUGCCAAACCACCUCACUGCCAAGAGCUGAGGCUGCUUGGAAAGCACCAUCACCUGGCCAUGGGGAGCCCUGUCAGCAACCUUCUUUGUGUCAACCAGCAGGCGAUGCUCGCCUUGGAACAAUAUUGUCAACUGGACCAGCCCACAUCAACUUCACCUGAAAUGCAGAUCUCGGGCCCUACCUUUGACUUGCCACUGAAUCGGAAAGUCUGGAGGGGGCCAAGCAAGCCCUCCAGGAGAGUCUGCUGCACCAUGAGAGUAGCUGCUGAGAGCAAUACCCGGGACAAGGCUGAUGAAGGCGUUGGCACAGAGAGGUGGUGGGGACUCCAUGUCCCUUCUUGUAUGCUGCGAUGAAGCCGUGGGUUUGGUUCUGAUGGCAAGAUGCUGGCCGGAAAGGAGUGUGUGAUCCGGGGUCUGUAACCGCAAAUGCCGGCAGACAUACAGAUCUGCAGAGUGCCCUCCCUUCCCAAGGCAUCUUCGAGCUUCAGGGAAGGAAACAGCCCCUGGGGCAGGCCCUACCUGAGGGAAUGCUGGAAGCUCCAGUCCGAGAAGGAAACAGCCCAGGGUUCCAAGCAGCCUGGGAGGAAGCCUUGGGAAGGAAGGGCAGCAAGCUGCUUGAGAAUCGGCACAGGGUGAUCUGAGCUCCUUUUGCGUUCCGCCUGUUUCUCAUCACUAGACCUUUCUCUUAGAGAGAAGUGGAUUGCCUCUUUACUACCCGUAAGGAGGGUUAGGGCCCAGAGCUGAGCAGGUAAUGGACACCUACACCUGGGAGAGAGAGAGAGAGAGGGAGAGAGAGAGAGAGGCAAGGACUGGCAGUUCCUACUGGGGGUCAGAGAUCUGGGGAGAAGCCUGGGUGAAGACAGAGGCAGAGAUGAGGAUGAUGCAGUCACAAGGAAAGGCACGCCAUGGGAAGUGAAAGAGCAUGGAAGUUUUCUCCUAGAGCUGUCGGAAGGCACAGGUUCUGCUGAUGCCCUGACCUUGGACUUCUCACCGCUAGAGCUGUGAGAGAUGAGCUUUCUGUGGUUUGAAGCCCUCUGUCUGUGGUCCUUGGCUAUGUCAUCCCUGGGAAGUGAAUACAGAAUUUGUUUAUAGUCCCACCAGGAAUGUUCUGAAGAGGGUAUGUUCCUCCCCAUUACCCAGAUGAGAAGGCUGAGGGUCAGAAAGGUGAAGUGCUUCUCCGAGCGUCGCUCAGCGCCCAGGGGCCACCAGGAUCCCAGACCAGAUGUGUCUGCACCCAAAGAGUGUGUGUUCCCUGCGCAGCUUUGCUGCAGGCAAAUGCCCACCCGUGGGCUUGACUGGGACUUCUUUCCCUUUGCUCCUGUCUUGGGCUCCCCGUGGGACAGGUGCUAACACCUCUGACCCCAGGACCCUCUUCCUUCUCACUCUCCCCCUCCCUGCUCCCCUGGACCUGGUUCAGGGGUCCUUUCACACUUUCCUGUCUCCUGGUUGAAUAACCUGGAAACUCAGUCCUGAGCCACUCCCAUCCUCUAGAUGGCUGAGCCCCCACUACUCCGAGGGUGGUCGCCAAGCAGCAGGGGCAGCCUCACUGGGGAUGGUCAGCAAUGUCUAGAGCACCGCCAAGACAGAAUUUGCCUUUUUACAAGCCUGAUCGGCACUUGCGUCUGCAAACUGGAGUUUGGGUCUAUGUAGCCUUUGGCUCCCUGCCCCUGGGGUGUCUGUCCAGACCCUUGACUCAGGAAGGGCCGUGUUGGGCAAGUCACAGGGAGUGCAGGCUUUGUCAUCUCAAACCAGAGCUUGAUGUGACUGCUGGCUCUGCAGCUGGUCAACUGUGUGACUUUGGGCCGAUUUCUCGGCCUCUCUAAGUCACAUGUCGACAUUGGUGGAUUAAUGAACCAGGCUCCUUCACAGUGCAGGAGCCCACAGAACCGCACUCAGUGAGCUUACCCAGGUGACAGCUAAGUGCCCCUAAGUGGGGACUUUGUGGGGACAGGAGCUGAGCUGGAGAAGUUCCUGCGGCUUCUGGGGAGAUGGUUUCUAGUUCCCCUGACCAUCAUCACACUGCCACCCCCAUUGCACAUUCUCC
rnacentral:lncRNA from 1 species